UACAGAGGUGGCAAGCGUUGUUCGGAAUUACUGGGCGUAAAGGGCGCGUAGGCGGUCUUCUAAGUCUUGUGUGAAAUCCCUCGGCUCAACCAAGGAAGUGCAUCCGAAACUGCUGAGCUUGAGUACGAAAGAGGAUCGCGGAAUUCCCGGUGUAGAGGUGAAAUUCGUAGAUAUCGGGAGGAACACCAGUGGCGAAGGCGGCGAUCUGGGUCGAUACUGACGCUGAGGUGCGAAAGCGUGGGGAGCAAACAGG
rnacentral:rRNA from 1 species